GACACCCCCCCAGGCCUCAGCAAGGUUUGGGAGCUAGGGUCGGGCUGGGAUCACGGCUGGAAAUCCAUGUAGGAUCACCGCAAACCACAGGCCUCUGCCAGCAGGAAGAGGGCUAGGAAGAGCCCUGCCCGCGCCGAAGCACGUGCCGGCCUGGCAGCUGACGAGCCCUCGAGCAUGAAUAAGGAAUAGGCGCGGGCUGGGAUCCUGGGGGGAAAUCCUUUUCAGGUCGCACCAGCCGCGCAGCUCUGCCCCUGGGGGACUCCCCCCGAGGAGGCUAGGCGAGUCCUGCCCACCCCAAAACUUGGUUUGUGAAUGCCAAGCCAUGAGCUCCCAGGCCUUACUUCACAUUUUUGCCCCUAUCUCUUGAUUUCCAGCCAGAAAAAAAUGUUGCAAUUAUACCUGGGUAGUGAGGAAUUCAGCUUCUAAAAGCAAUCUCGGAGGCUGAUUAGGUGUGCCUGACCACUUAGGAGUUCAAAUGUAGUCACAUGACUCCAAGACUUCCCCUAGCACAUGACUGGGGGACAGCGGGGAGAGGAGCAACUUAUUUUUCUAUGGUCUCCAUUGCUAGUGGUCUGUCUUGCUGCUAUGAGCUUUGCAGUCCUGCUUAUUUGGUGCUGAACAUUGGUUUGUGACUCUCUAUUAAUUUCUAGCAUAAAAAGGUGACAGAGAUGCCUGGGGAAGAUGUAAGUGGAAGCGCUGAUUCUAAGGAGGAUCUAUUCAGUGCUUUUCUGCAUGAAUUGCAAUGGUUAGAGAAAGAAGGCUUCCAAAAGGAGGAGUCAGUUUGGGGCUGCAUUGUUGGUAGGCUUCAUAGAAAUACAUCAAAGCCAAUGUGGGGACAGUCCGUGCUGUUUUUCAUGCACAAUUCUGAACAACACUCUCAUACCAAUUUCCCAUUCUAUGGGGUCACUUAAAUAGCCAAACUCUUCGUCCAUCCAUUGUUGUUUCAAGCCUAGAGUCUUCGGAACAUGAAGAUGAAUUUCUUGCACAGUUUAUAUUAGCUUUUGGACCCCCACGUCCGUUAGAACCUUUGGUUGACAAUCAUCUAUGAGCCCAGAUUCAGUUCACCAAUUUUCUGAGGCGUGCAAAUUAUUUGUCUGCUGGUCAUUGCCAAAUGAGGUAUGGCUCCAUGGACCACCACACUGCCUUUGAUGGUCAUCAGAAUUAAUGCUCCUUUUUCUCACCAGUGCAGCUGAUCCAGUCCAGCCCAGGGGUGGUGAAACCUGGAGAGACCCUCACUCUGACCUGCAUUGUCUCCACUUACACCAUCAGCAGUGGAGAACGUGCAAAGGAGGCCUAUAUGCAGUUUAGAGAUGAACAUUUCAUUAAGAAAACAAAGAAGCUUUCGGAUACCAUGAAGAAAGUAAAAUGUCCUGGAUUUGUUUCUGAUGGAGAUAAACAGGUAGAAAAACAUAAACCAACUACAGCAUCAGAAAAGAAAUCCUACUCUGCAGCCGAGAAAAUUCUACGCAUAUCGAAGGAUGGAGGAUAGUGUGUUAAGACCAUACUGAAGUAUGAUCUGUGGCCAUCUAACAAGGUAUUUGAUGAUUGUGGGCUUCUUACUAAACCAACCAAGUCAUCCAUUUAUUUGAUGCAGUUUCAUCUGGUUUCACAUGUGUCAUGAUACAGAUGUUUUUGUCUGUCUUCAAUAUCUGUUUCAACUGUUUGAAAAAGGACUUUUGGAACUUUGGAUUAAAGUAGUCUUUGCUGUUAAAGUAAGAUUUGUUCCUCCUCACACGCUUGGACAGAAACUAGAACCAACUUUGUGCAAUGUUGUUAUUAAGGCUCACAUUCUCGCAGAAUAUGAUGUCACCAGCAAAAUGGGAACAAAACUGUCAGCAUUGAACAUAUCACCAGAGGAGUUCCUUUUAGGUUUUGCUGAUGAUAGCACACUUUCUAAGGACGUAGUUAACAGUGCUGAAGAAUAACUUGUUAAGGUCCUCAGCCAUCACUUUAUUGCAAAACAUUUAAUGAGCUUCAUUUUGCAUUGUACAAAAGUAAAACUAUUUCACAGCUUCCCCCCACUUCUUUCUCUAUUCAAAAUGGACAUCUCAGGGGAUGCUUCUUUGUGGCUGUGUCAAAGAACAGGCUAUGCUUAUCACUAAAAGGGGUGUGGGCAAGCAGCAGAGCAGCCUGCAGGUGGCUACACUCCCAAUCAGGCACAUGACCAGCAGGACACUGCCUGAUUGGGAACAGGGCCCAGCUGUUUGUGUUAAGAACAGGCCCUGAGCAUUAUUGGAGCCAGCAGUUUGCUGCAAGCAGCUGGAGAGAGAGCAUCACUCAGCAGGAGCUGCUGCUCACGUAAUAAUUUGGAGGUACAGGGCAGGAGCUAUGGGGA